CCCGCACAAGCGGUGGAGCAUGUGGUUAAUUCGAAGCAACGCGAAGAACCUUACCAGGCCUUGACAUGCAGAGAACUUUCCAGAGAUGGAUUGGUGCCUUCGGGAACUCUGACACAGGUGCUGCAUGGCUGUCGUCAGCUCGUGUCGUGAGAUGUUGGGUUAAGUCCCGUAACGAGCGCAACCCUUGUCCUUAGUUACCAGCACGUUAUGGUGGGCACUCUAAGGAGACUGCCGGUGACAAACCGGAGGAAGGUGGGGGUGACGUCAAGUCAUCAUGGCCCUUACGGCCUGGGCUACACACGUGCUACAAUGGUCGGUACAAAGGGUUGCCAAGCCGCGAGGUGGAGCUAAUCCCAUAAAACCGAUCGUAGUCCGGAUCGCAGUCUGCAACUCGACUGCGUGAAGUCGGAAUCGCUAGUAAUCGUGAAUCAGAAUGUCACGGUGAAUACGUUCCCGGGCCUU
rnacentral:rRNA from 1 species